GCUGCUUGGGCAGGUUGGUUAUGCACUUGAUUUGUAAUCAAGAGACGGUAGGUUCGAUUCCUACAGGCAGCU
rnacentral:tRNA from 1 species